rnacentral:tRNA from 1 species
UAGCCGAGCGGUUGAAGGCACCGGUCUUGAAAACCGGCGAGGGGAAACCCUCCCAGAGUUCGAAUCUCUG